rnacentral:rRNA from 1 species
GACGUAGGUGGCGAACGUUUAUCCGGAAUUAUUGGGCGUAAAGGGUGCGUAGGUGGUCUGAUAAGUUUAUCAGUGGCAAAUCGAAGGCUCAACCUCGUGGAAACUGGUAAUACUGUCCGACUUGAGUACAGGGAGAGGUUAACGGAACUCUAUGUGGAGCGGUAAAAUGCACAGAUAUAUAGAAGAACGAUCAAUAACGGCG